GCUGCCCACCCUAUCUGCCGGCCUAGGAUGUGGAAAGGCUUGGGAAGGGACUGACAGACAACUGACUGAAGGCUUGAAUGGUUAAUGUGAGCCACGCUGUCUGGGUGGCUCUACGGCAGAGUCGUGGGCAGUGGUUAAAGCCCAGGGAGACUCAGUGCCUUCCUGAGACAACUCAGAGAGAGAUGGGGAUGCUCUGAAACUCCGACGUCAAAGUAAUGUGCUUCAAGUUUUCCGGGUAAAGCCUGUGGAAUGCCG
rnacentral:lncRNA from 1 species